rnacentral:rRNA from 1 species
CACGGGGGGGAGCAAGCGUUGUUCGGAAUCACUGGGCGUAAAGGGCGUGUAGGCGGUUCGGUAAGUGGAAUGUGAAAUGCUCCGGCUCACCCGGAGUACUGCAUCCCAAACUGCCGAGCUUUGAGUAUGGGAGAGGAUGAGGGAAUUCCUGGUGUAGCGGUGAAAUGCGUAGAUAUCAGGAGGAACACCGGUGGCGAAGGCGCUCAUCUGGCCCAAUACUGACGCUGAGGCGCGAAAAGCUAGGGGAGCAAACGGG